UGGCUAGCAAAAUUUGGGAACUAUUUCGCACACUGAAUACAAGGAGAAAAGUGUUAAAAGAUUGUCUUUGUCCAUAACACUAUCUUCAUUGAUCACGUGCAAUUAUACGCAAAAAGAGAAAGCAGAUGCCAUCAUAUCGAAAGAUAAUUUCUUCGGUAAUAAAAUGCCACAUAGCAGCCUCUUAAUUCAUUUAAUAAUCAUAUAUUUACGAAAAAAGAAGCACUUUCAGACCUUUUUGUUGGGAGUGAGUGAGUAUAUUUUUAUGCCGCUUUUAUGACGGUUACAUUUCACGCAAACCCUAGAGCACAGUAACGGUGCCAACAACCCACGAAGCCAAAUCGGGGAGAUAUGAUCUCAAACCGCCUGCCACAGGUUUCUGGAGUGGUCCCACCUUUGCCAAGCUUUAAAUGGGCAUGCUGCUAUGAUUCAGAUCGAUCCUGUAUGGUGUUAACAAACAUUUAAGAAUACAAAUUUUGAACAUUGUUACAAUAAUCAGCUACAAUGAUUCAGUGUAUGAUAAAAUGCGUUAAAUAAGCCCCAUCACUUGACUACCAAAUACCCGAUAUCAUUACUAAUUGAUACAUGUUCAUGAUAUAUUUAAUUAAAAACUGAUUCUACUUUUAAUUGAGAUUUAUCAUGAAUAUUGAUAAUGUUUUUCUCGCUUUUAGUCCAAAGGGUGUAUUAUAUGUGUGUGCCAUGGACACCACGAACAUUCAUCAUAACGUGUGUUUUCCCUAUGACUAUAUAUGUUUCAUGAAUCCGUAUCGGGGCAGAAUCAAUUCUGGUUACUCUCUGGCCUUAACGUUUAAUAUAUCGGAGUAGAUAUAGCGAUUACCUUCAGCAUGACAAUAGGAGCGCUACGAUCACUAUUACACGGCUACAGCAAUAUUAUCGAUUAUACUGACAAAGGGAGGUCAGGACCCGGAAACGUGUCGUGCAAUGAACGAGUGUAUUGGGUAUUGAUGCUAAGGGCAAAAUGUCGGCGUGCCGGAAGGACUUCUACUUCGACAUAAAAACCGAGAAGUGUCAGUCUUGCGCUGAGUUGUGCCAUCAAGCCGAAGUUAGAGGAACUGUGGACCUCUGCAGCAGACUGUGUCCAGUGUCUUCAGAUAACACUGUUUCGGCGACUCACGUUGACACGUUGACAACCACCAGUGCAGCUGAGGCAGCAACUUUACCUUUGUAUGACGAUAGGUACUUGAUGCCAGAGGGGGUGGUCAUCACUGUGGGAGUGGUCAUUAUUCUGGUAUCCAUGGUGGCCUUGGUCAUCAUACUGUACAGUGGAAGAAUGGAAACAAAUCUGAGCAAACGACGAGGGCGGAAUGAGGAAGCUGAAACUACGAUUACUCUGAGUGGCAUCAAUGUAGACGUGGAAUAUAUGCAGUUUGUGCAUAAGAAAUCUCGUGUCUGUUGUUGGUCAGCAUGUCGUCAGCUGUUUCUUGAUAAAGAUAGUUGUAGAGGAACUAAUAUGCCAGUGCUUGGUGUUUCUUGAAUGUUAUCAUGUCGGUUGUGUAUGUAAUAAGUAUUGUUUUAUAUAUUCUGAGAUUUCAAGUGAUCAAGUCUAAUGGUAUAUCAAUGUAUAUACCUGAAUGGUAAUGUAAAACAAAUCGAAUGAGUGUAGUUAACAAAUCGGUUCUGAAAGAAAUGUUUUGUGAUGUUUUGUUGAUUAUAUAAUGUUUUACUGAGUCUCCAAUAAAAGUGUUGUAACUAUGAUGUAUUUUGUCUUAAUAUGCUAUACAUCAGAGAGAGAGAGAGAGAGAGAGAGAGAGAGAGAGAGAGAGAGAGAGAGAGAGAGAGAGAGAGAGAGAGAGAGAGAGAGAGAGAGAGAGAGAGAGAGAGAGAUUUGACAAGUGUUGUUAAUUGAGACGCGGAUUAUAUUACCAACAUUUCUAACAUCAUUGGGGACUUCAGGCUUCACGUAAACAAAUAUUUUCUGAGAUAGGUGUAGGUUAUUAUGUAACGAUUUCAACCGUUGUAUAAUGAAUCACCAUAUUAAUACAUCAAUCAUUCAUUUUGAUUAUAUACAUUCUUGAUAGUCAAUAUCCCAUAUGAGCAAUGGCGCAAUCGGAGGGGUGAUAUUUGAGAAUGGGGUUACUUUGGAUAGAAUAGUUUAAGUAUAUUCUUUAGUUUGAGAUUGCAGUGGUAUGUCAGAGUUAGAUCUCCAACCCUGUUCAGAAUGUCAGUGUGUGCCCUAUUAAUCGAACAUCUCAUUUAUUUAUCGUAUAUAUCUUCCAGUUGGUGUUUAUGAAUGCAAAUUGUACUGCAAUAUUCGUGGUCAGGGUGUAACAUUUUGUAAUUUACUUCAGUUCUUUCGUUUAAAUAUAACUCAGGUGAGUUCUUUUUCAAAAUGCAUCAUUGGAAUGAGGCCGGAUUUAAUGUUUAUUUGUGUUACAUGUAUACAUGUAUGUGCUUUGCAUUUGCCCUUGUCAGAUAUCUGCAAUAUAUUGAUAUCCAACUUGAAAAAGAAUAUAAUGCCAAAUAUACAUGCAAUUUUCUAUUCAAGAUGACGAGUACAGAUCGACUAUGUAAACUAUGUAAAUUUGUUUGUCAGUUAUCACCAGUGCCUUAUGUUUGUAUGCUACCUCAAUUUGUUUACGUGAAAUGAUUCGGGUUGCUGUAGAGAGACCCAUUUGUGCGAUCUACCGAGGAUACAUGCGGAUAUAUUGUGACAGGAAAAACAACGUUUUGUUCAGUGAAAUUUGCAUGAUCUUAUCCCAGUUAACACCCAUUUUAUAUCUUACGAGCAUGGUAGACUGGCUGCUUGGACCAACUGCAACUGAUAAAAAGGUUGUUCUAAAUAUAGCAACAUCCAUUGACGUCCAGGUCUCACGAUGUAUACUGGAGUAAAACAUGGCGUCCAGGGUGAAUAUUCGUCCCAGUCGCCAGACACCUGAAACUGUCCGAAAUGGACUAGUAGUGACUCAAUACUGGACAUACGGACGGUUUAUAUCGGUUCAAAGCGAUGUCCGACUCAACUAAAAUAAUUUUCCAGAGGGUGUCAGCUGGACUUGAUAUGAAAUGUUCGUUGGGAAUCCUUGUGAUAACCAUGACUAUUAGGUGGAGUCAACAGAAGGCCCGUGUGUAAAAAGAGUAUUAUAUGACAUCGUCACCCACAUCUGCGAUUCCUGCAGUGAUAUAUGUGAAUAUGUUGAAGCACCGACAACCACCGAGGUUAAUACAGGAAAGGUACAUGACACCCAGAUGACGUUAUCUGUCCAAUCUCAACGCCAACUAAAAUCAGAUAUGGCAACAAAGGAAACUGAGGUCUGCAAGUAGAAAAGCCUUGUCUUCCACAACAAUGCUUCGAUGAAAACAUAAACUGCCAUUCUGUCUGUGUCAAUGCAGGAGAUAUAGAUAUCAGUUCUGGAAUGGCCAUGUGUCUUUUGGACAGGGAAAAUCCUUCAAGGCGAAUGUCAAUGGGAUAUCACGGACCAACGUGGUCGCCGACCACGUGCCUGUACUCGUGGUUAUGAUGUAUUGCAGUCGUCACUGCGGCAUUUGGCUCUUGUGUUUUAUCAUUCAUCUGACAAAGACGAAGAGGUGUUUCUGGCUACAGCAGACUCAACCAGAACAACUGGCGAAGGGAAUCCUCUUACCCAGCCGUGGACGACUGUCAGUGUGAAAACAUGACACAAGAUGCAUCUAUUUCACAAAAAUCACCGCAAUGUGAAAAUAAAUUAAUAAAUAAAAUGUAUCAGUAUGUGCUUAUAUUUUUUCUUCUGAAACACAACACAUGCACACGACGUAAAACAAUAUGUAAUCAUAUUUUGUACAAAUUACGUAAAGUACUUUACUUUACUUUUCUUAUGGACAAAUUAAUAAAGUAACUUGACAUAAUAUUCAGCUUAUGAGUAACCAUCGAGUUACUUCCCUUUCAAAGGUCACGACAUCAUGGAGAUGUGUCGCACUGGGCGUGACAUGGUUUCAAGUACUGCAUUGCCUUGAGUGCAUGAUGGAGUUUGUUUUAGAUGAUAAUCGUUGUUCUCUGGCUUUGACGUGUUUUAUUAUCACAAUUCGAUGCAUCGUUUGCGAAUAUCAGAAGUAGCUCUGUUGGGUAUUUCAUCGAAACUACGUACCGGAAAUUAUGUUGCACAUUUUAUUAUUGGCAGCAAACUCAGUAAUUAAUUUCGUUAACUCAUCAAUAUUUCACAGAUAAGUAUCGAUUUUAUUCUUAUAUUUGUGAGACUGCAAGGAACUUUGCGUGAAGUAAAUUAUAUUUAUGUCAAAUUAUAAAUCUCGUCAUCAUGUGACAAUUUCGUAGUAUACAAUGUAGCACAAGGGAUUACACAGAACCUGCACAGGUUGCUGUCAGCGAGAGCAGAGAAACACGUCCAGCCAGCCCGAGAGAUACGCCAGACUGAAUGAAGUGUAUACGGCGGUAGGUGGAGAGCGAUCGAUUAACCUCUUUUCGCUGAAAGUGGCUGGCUAUAGGUUGACAGCGUAAACACCACUCCCUGAGUGUGUGAACACAUGACCAAAUACGUUUGUGCUUAUUUAGCUAUGAUUCACUGCUAAACUAACGCCAUGGAGAUCAUCAAAACAUACUUAUAUGCAACAAUCUGUAUAGUAUCACUCUGUAUAGACAAGUAAUAAAAUAAUUUCAAUUUC